rnacentral:rRNA from 1 species
GACGAACGCUGGCGGCGUGCUUAACACAUGCAAGUCGAACGAUGAAGUUCCUUCGGGAAUGGAUUAGUGGCAAACGGGUGAGAAACACGUGAGAAACCUGCCUUUCAUUUUGGGAUAACUCCGGGAAACCGGAGCUAACACCGAAUACUCCGUCUCGGCGGCAUCGCUGAGCCGGGAAAAAAUUUUGAUGAAAGAUGGUCUCGCGGCCUAUCAGCUAGUUGGUGAGGUAAUGGCUCACCAAGGCGACGCCGGGUAGCCGGCCUGGGAGGGCGACCGGCCACACUGGGACUGAGACACGGCCCAGACUCCUACGGGAGGCAGCAGUGGGGAAUAUUGGGCAAUGGGCGCAAGCCUGACCCAGCGACGCCGCGUGAGGGAUGAAGGCCUUCGGGUUGUAAACCUCUUUCAGUAGGGAAGAAGCGAAAGUGACGGUACCUAAAGAAGAAGCACCGGCUAACUAUGUGCCAGCCGCCGCCGUAA